AUAAAUCAAAUAUUAGGAAUCUAGGAUAUGAAUGAUACCAUGGACAAAAAACAACUUCAAACCUGAAUUUGCUAGAAAAGAUUCUUGAUUUUCUUGACAAAAAUGGAUUGGAUUCCUCCAUUUAGACUGCCACUAAUUCCACUUCACCUUAUACAAGGUACUUACAUCUGAUUCUUUUGUAAGUUGUGACUACAAUUUUUUACUUUUCUACUUUCUUUUAAUGCUUUAUUUUUGUAUGGAUGUGCUCUAUUUUAUUAAUUUGCCAAGGUAAAGUUUUGACCUUUAUUAGUGUUGAAACCUGGCUGUGAUUGUGAGGCUUAUCUGGAAGAUAUUGAAGCUAAAACUAAAUGCAAGCUUCAGAAAUUAGAGGGUUUACUUAGUAGUUAUCCUCUUCCACCUUAAUUAUGUUGUAUCCAGAUGGAAAGGUGUUUAUUAAAGAUUACUGCUGAACUAUGCUCAUUUUGGUCAAUAUUUCAAAAGAGUUCUUGAUAAUGUUGUAACUUGUGGCAUUAUGGAAGCAAAUGUUUCAAUGAAGCAAAACUUCUAGAGGAACCUCAUCUUUCUGUUGUCCUCUACUUGCGUGUUCAUGCACUUUCCACCAAGUUAUCAUCAUAUUCAGGUUCUGUUUUUCCUUGUUCUUGAUGUCAUUUCCGUAUAUUAUCUCAUUUAGUAGCUAUUUGAUCUGUUUGAUGAACAAGUCACUUUGAUGAAUGAUAAUUGGAUUUUCUUUUCAAAAUCUGUUUCUUCUGUACAUCUUCGUCUAUAAUUUAUUUGUUCAAUCUUUUGGUACAAACUAAAUGUUGUUAUCUGCAUUCCUCUUUUUCUUUUGAAGAAAGCAGAUAUGAGAGUGAUGCAGCAUCUGGAGGUGCGGUUGAAUUUUGGGCUAUGCGUCUUUAACUGGUUUUUAUAGAAUCAAAGACCUUGAACUGUUUUCUUUUAUGAAGAAAAUUAAUGAUAAAGUAUUUAGAACACAAAAUUUUAGUUUAUCUAGAUUAGGAAAAUUAUGUGAUGAUUAUGGGAUGUGGUUCUUGCUUGUUUUUCCCACUUUCUAAUUCUUAAGAAACAAAUUUUGUGAGUUGAGAUACGUUAUCCGUAGUCAUUAAAUGAAAAUGUCCUGUUUCAUCCAUUGAUAUGGAUCUUAUUGCUCAGAUCUGAAUCCAACUCGCUUCUCAUAUUCAACAGUUACCUAUUCAGUAUUAAGUAGUGAAAGACUGUAUAAAAAACAAUCUGCAUCAAGCGAUCUUGCAGUUGAAUCAUUUGACUUUUUGUAAUUAAAUUCUUUAUACUUUUGUGAUAAAAUGAUUAGUCUCUUCUUGAGUUUCUACGUGUACAAUUAAGAAUGUGUUCCCAAUUGUGGGUCAUUUUUAGCUGCUAGCCAUGUAUGAUAUUGGACUUCCUCGGGUAGUUUUGGCACUGUCACUGGUGUUGAUGUUGCAAGGCAUAGGCUGGCGCCUGGCAGCUUGGUGCUCAUUGUUGUCUAUUUGCUACUGAUAUACAACUUUUUUUUCUUUGAUUUGUCGGGGCUCAGUCGAAUACCCAAUAUGUAACAGACUCUAAUGGAAGUUAUUGUUUCUUGAUUUUUGUGUUGUGCCUGUCUAGAUGAGUUUGCAGUUCUGUGCAUAUUCUUAAAAUAUCAUUCUUCAUAGUUUUGGAUAGGGAUUAUGUGUGGGAUAAGAACUUAGAUACAUACAAAGAGUGGACAUCUAGGAGGCCGUUGAAAGAAAGGGAAGGGCAAACAAGCCAGAGGAUAAUGGUGACUUGCUGCUAGUCUGACAAAUUCAAUGUCCCAAACUUAUAUAUAGUGGACUGCAUUCAAUACGCUGUGGUUAGGCUCAGUCAAAGGAGUUAUAUCACAGUGUGAAGAUAUCUGUGUAUAGUUCUCCAUUAUCUGCAGAUUACAGCUGAUGGUUAAAUUGUGAAUCAGGUCCUUGUGGAUGCAGAUUGCACACCUGAUGGAUAAAUUAUGCACAUCCAGAAAUUGGAAAAUUGGGGCUGGACAAUCCUUCAGCAAUGUGUAGUUGAUGCGGUGGAAAUGAACAAUAUAAAUUAUCUUCAGGUUCUGGUGCAUAUUUGCUUAAAGACACUCUGUGUAGGUUUCAUUUUGGAACGAGUGCAAUGGUGUGUUCUUUGUGUUCUUAAUUUAUUGGACUUGAGAUUAGAAGAAACUGUCAAUAAAACCUUCUGCAGAGUUUUUAGAGCUUGUGCUUCUAUAGAUUUCCAUAAAGUUAGAAGAAUGAUUUUAUUGAUAUAUAGGCAUGUAAUUGUAUUAUUUGCAACUUGUACAUGAUGUCAAGUUUCUAGAUAUAGCACCACUUUUUAGGAAUUGACUGUAUAGAAUUAAUGAUAAAGUAUUUAGAACACAAAAUUUUAGCUUAUCUAGAUUAGGAAAAUUAUGUGAUGAUUAUGGAAUGUGGUUCUUGCUUGUUUUUCCCACUUCCUAAUUCCUAAGAAACAAAUUUUGUGAGUUGAGAUGCGUUAUCCGUAGUCAUUAGAUGAAAAUGUCCUGUUUUAUCCAUUCAUAUGGAUCUUCUUUCUCAGAUCUAAAUCCAACUCGCUUCUCAUUUUUGACAGUUACCUAUUCAGUAUUAAGUAGUAAAAGACUGUAUAAAGAAAAAUCUGCAUCAGGCGAUCUUGCAGUUGAAUUAUUUCACUACUUGUAAUUAUGUUCUUUAUACUUUUGUGAUAAAAUGAUUAGUUUCUUCUUGAGUUUCUACGUGUGCAAUUAAGAAUGUAUCGCAAAUUGCGGGUCAUUUUUAGCUGCUAUGUAUGAUAUCAGACUUCCUUGGGUAGUUCUGGCACUGUCACUGGGGUUGAUGUUGCAAGGCAUAGGCUGGCGCCUGGCAGCUUGGAGCUCAUUGUUGUCUAUUUGCAGCUGAUAUACAACUUGUUUUUCUUUGAUUCGUCGGGGCUCAGUCAAAUUCCAAAUAUGUAACAGACUCUUAUAGAAGUUAUUGUUUCUUGAUUUUUGUAUUGUGCCUGUCUAGAUGAGUUUUCAGUUCUGUGCAUUUUCUUAAAAUAUCAUUCUUCAUAGUUUUGGAUAGAGAUUAUGUGUUGGAUAAGAACUUAGAUACAUACAAAGAGUGGACAUCUGGGAAGACUUUGAAAGAAAGGGAAGGGCAAACAAACCAUGGGAAAAUGCUAACUUGCAGCUAGUCUGACAAAUUCAAUGUCCCGAACUUAUAUAUAAUGGACUGCUUUCUGUACGCUGUGGUUAGGCUCAGUAAAAGGAGUUAUAUCACAGUGUGAAGAUAUCUGUAUAUAGUUCUCCAUUAUCUGCGGAUUACAGCUGAUGGUUAAAUUGUGAAUCAGGUCCUUGUGGAUGCAGAUUGCACACAUGAUGUAUCAAUUAUCACAUCCAGAAAUUGGAAAACUGGGGCUGGACAAUCCUUCAGCAAUGUGUAGUUGAUGCGAUGAAAAUGACCAAUAUAAAUUUUCUUCAGGUUCUGGUGCAUAUUUGCUUAAAGACACUCUGUGUAGGUUUCAUUUUGGAACGAUUACAAUGGUGUGUAUUUGUGUUCUUAAUUUAUUGGACUUGAGAUUAGAGGAAACUGUCAAUAUAACCUUCUGCAGAGUUUUAUAGAGCUUGUGCUUCGUCUAGAUUUCCAUAAAGUUAGAAAAACAAUUUUAUUGAUAGGCACCUAAUUAUAUUAUUUGUAAGAGUUUCAAGCAAUAUAACCUAGAGUUAUACUUGUACAUGAUGUCAAGUUUCUAGAUAUAGCACCACUCUUUAGGCAUUGACUGUAGUCUGUAUAGAAGAUUUACAUCUUGGUUCUGUCAACUAUUUGUAUGGCAUCAGUGUUUUAUCAUCAGUAGCAAGUUCAGGACAGUAGAUUCUUUCUUCAGUCUGAUUUGAAACCUAUGAGGCAUGACUUUGGUGUCACUCCUUAUUAGUGAUGUCUAUACUAUCUAUACAUUGUCGCAUGGCAGCACCUGCUCAUUGCUAAUCCUCCUCUUUCUCAAUUUUUUUCCUCAUAUUCUCCUUGCAGUUGCUACCGCAGACAAAUGGUUUUAAAUUGCUUAAAAUUAAAGGUCUCUUGUUUGCAGAACUUGCAGCUUUUACUAUUCCUUGGAUUGAAACUUUUAAAUUUGGAACAAGGCCAAGAAAUCAUAUAUGUCUUUUUAGUGAUGUAGUUUAAGAGCUGCUUCUGAAAAAGGAUGUGGAGCAGUACCUCUUGCAAAAUAAACUGCUG
rnacentral:lncRNA from 1 species